GACCACGUAGCUCAGUUGGCAGAGCAUAGCCAUUGUGCUAGUAUUCCAAAGGUCGUAGGUUCGAUUCCCACCGUGGUCA